rnacentral:rRNA from 1 species
UACGGGGGGGGUAAGCGUUGUUCGGAAUUACUGGGCGUAAAGGGCUCGUAGGCGGCCAACUAAGUCGGACGUGAAAUCCCUCAGCUUAACUGGGGAACUGCGUCCGAUACUGGAUGGCUUGGAUUUGGGAGAGGGAUGCGGAAUUCCAGGUGUAGCGGUGAAAUGCGUAGAUAUCUGGAGGAACACCGGUGGCGAAGGCGGCAUCCUGGACCAAUAUUGACGCUGAGGAGCGAAAGCCAGGGGAGCGAACGGG